rnacentral:tRNA from 1 species
GGUCCCGUGGUGUAGUGGUUAACAUGCCUGCCUGUCACGCAGGAGAUCGCCGGUUCGACCGGCGGUUCGAUUCCGUCCCGAGCCACCA